GUCUCUUCUCCUCAUAUGGCUGAAGGACAUCGUGAACCAUUUUUGGUGGUGUUGUAAAACAGCUGUCACAAUUGAGCAGUUCCUUCACGGGCAUCUGGAAAUCACGGCUGGAAAGGAGUGGAUUCGGAGAGACUCAAAAUGCCACAAAAGCCCUGGUGGAAAUUGUGCACAAUAAGCGCUGGCAGAAGGAUGUACACAAAUACCUGCGCUUCAGAUCAACUGCCGAGCUUGAGGCAUUUCAAAAUCAUAUUUUGAUGCAUGCCAGCAAGCGCUUUGCCUUCAGUCCCCCAGUGUAUGAGGCCAGAGUCCUGCUUGCUGCUCUGGA